UGGGGAAUAUUGCACAAUGGGCGCAAGCCUGAUGCAGCGACGCCGCGUGAGGGAUGACGGCCUUCGGGUUGUAAACCUCUUUCGCCAGGGACGAAGCGCAAGUGACGGUACCUGGAGAAGAAGCACCGGCCAACUACGUGCCAGCAGCCGCGGUAAUACGUAGGGUGCGAGCGUUGUCCGGAAUUACUGGGCGUAAAGAGCUCGUAGGCGGUUUGUCGCGUCGUCUGUGAAAUUCUGCAACUCAAUUGCAGGCGUGCAGGCGAUACGGGCAGACUUGAGUACUACAGGGGAGACUGGAAUUCCUGGUGUAGCGGUGAAAUGCGCAGAUAUCAGGAGGAACACCGGUGGCGAAGGCGGGUCUCUGGGUAGUAACUGACGCUGAGGAGCGAAAGCGUGGGGAGCAAACA
rnacentral:rRNA from 1 species